GUUUUUGAUUAGUACAACAACAAAAUUAUAUGUUAGUAUCCAUAGGUAUCAUGUGUAUCUUAGUUUUUGACUCUUUUUCACGUGGAGGCAUGUGUGUGUGUGAACGCCGAGAUGCGUUUUGGUCACCUAAACCGGUAUAUGACAGAUUGCUAACGUAAGCCGAUAAAAACAAGGAACUAAAAAAGGUUGCUUUUCGUCCACUCGUCCCUACAUGAAUUCUUUUACGGGUGGACAAAAUUGAGUAAGUAUCAUCCAUUAUUUGUAAUAUACAACACAUGUAACAAGAUUUCACAUGUGAAAUUUUAAUCAAGUUACAUGAUAAGUAGCUUAGAGGAGUUUUUAGAUUAUUUCCUUAAGAAACCAUAAAAUCAUCAUCUCGUAACUUCAAAUAGUCCAAAAGAGAAUCGGAUUAAAAUGCGGAUAUGAUAUAUUUUUUGUAAAAAUAAGAAGGCUAUAUCAUCUCUGAUCAGUCAUAAAUCAUAAUUCCAUAAUAUUGUAGCCAUAAAGAAACGAGUGUUAAUAAACGAAUGCCAUUUAGAUUCCAAUUUCAAAACCCCCAGAAGAAGCAUAAUCAUCAAAAAGUUAUGAUCUUAGAAAAGAACAAGACUUACGAGGAUUCAGUGAUCUGGGCAAAGUCAACAUAACCCGUCUCGGGGAGGUACUUGAGGAUUUUACCACCGGAGACACCGGUAUAGAACCCUUUACCGGUGGAAUCAAAAGCGAAAGCUUCGGGACCUGACCUAGUUUCCGGCACCGGAAGUUUCUGGAAAGAAGCGUCAUCGGAGAAAACCGCCGAUGAAAGAGAGAGAAGAAGAAGAAGAGAAAUCAUGGAGCAAAACGACGUCAUACCGUUUCUUUAUCGCUCAAUUAUUCUCAAAUGAGACUUUCUUGUACUUUGUAGUCGUUACGAAUAUUUAUAGGUUUGAUUAUUUAACUUUUCUUUUUCUUUUUUGAUUAAUUUUUAAGAAGGUUUCUUAUUUUGUAAAUUAAGUUGAUGGCACACGUUAUGCUCGUCGGAUUAUUUUAUUAGUGAAGAGAUUAGAGUUGUUUCUCGGGGUUUCUUGACAGAUUAAGUUGCACAUGGAACAAAAAGUCAAAUAGUUGCAAUCCACGUACAUUGCUGAUUUUUGGGGUAGACGUACGACUGUCAACGCAAGAUCGCAAACGCAUGGUCUAAAAAUUUAUGUACUUGUGUCUAAGAUUGAUUAGAAGUAGGUAAACUUUUUUUUGAUAAAGUAGAAGUAGGUAUUUAGAUAUCAGAAAAUAUAUACAAGUGUAAUUCCAAGGAGCAGUUGAUUACAAAUAAAUAAAAUACAUAUACUUUUGAGAAAUACCCUAGAAUAUUUGCUUGGAUAUUAAAAAAAAAAGGAAAUUUAAGAUUUUUGUGAUAUUGAAAGGACCAAAUGGAUACUGUUAAUAAAUCAACCGGUCGCAUAGUCGCAUUCAAUGAUCUUAGUCUUGUUGAUCAAAUAUUGACGAUCGAUGCGUUUAUCAUCAAACAUCAAUUGCAAAUUGUAAACACAAACGUAAAACGUCAAUAAUAUGGAAUGUUUUAUGUUUACUGUUUGCGUUUACAAUUUACAACUACUAUGUGGUUAAGAAUAAAUUGCGUAUAUAAACACACAAUUUUUUUUAUUUUUUUUUGGGUGCAAAAUACACAGGAUUUCAAAGCAAUGUUUCUAGUCUUUCAAAAUUCCGAUGUAUUAUUACAUUCUAGCAUAUAGACCAUAAUAAACAGAAGAUAUAAUAUUAUGGUCCAUAUGUUGGGUAAAUAAAAUGCAAAUGCACAAAAAGAAUCAUAAGCUUAUCCGAUUUUUGACCUCCCAAUAUAUCAUUAUUUUUCAAUAAAUAUAAAGAUGGACGUACAUAUUGGUUGCUAUCACUAUCAGACUUGAUGGAUAGCUAAUAAAUUGGUCACCAAAGAUCCGUAGCCACCUUUUUUUGGCGGGGCUGGCAUAACCUGAAACGAUUUGGUUUCGCUAUUUUUAUGUUAACCAGUACUUUAUCUUAAUUGUUUAUCGUAGUUGUGGCCUUUAUAUUUUGCAUUUUAAAUACUGAGCUUCCAAGUUAAAUGUUAGUGUUUUGUGCUUAUACAUUGUGAGAACUUCAAAUUAAGAAGUUUUUUUCAACUUUUUUUUGUUGCAAACCGUAUGAUUAUUUUGAUUUGUUAAGAAAAUAAAAGGUACUACAAAGAAAAGGGGAAUAUGUUAUCAUCAAUUAACGUUGUUGUUUCUUGGUGGUUCAUGUCCAUGAUGAUGGCUUGAUUUUAUGCUUAAUGGCGAAAUCAAAUUUAAACACGGAAAAUAACUACUACGUGACUCAAAUGUUUUCCCCAUUAAGGCCAUUACGUGUUAUACUCAACUUUAUCAUUAAAAUUUAAAAUGGUUAACUUCAAAGCCAAAUUGGCGUAAGGAUAAUAGAACUUGCUCACAGCUCCACAUAAUUUCCUUCAGAUCCGAAGUCUUAAUCGUUAGAAUCAGAGGUUUUUCUCCAUUACGAUUUAAUUUUCAGUUUUGUUUGGGAUUAUUCGAAAUUGAUUAAAUUAUUUAAAAAGAUGUAAAUAUUUUAUCUAUAAAGAAAUAAUAUACAUAAAUUGUUAAUUUGUUUUUCUUUUUGUAUCUAGUAUUUUGUUAAUUGUAUAUUUGUUUUUUGUUCCGUUUAGCUGAAGGAAUAACGCCAACUAAUUUGUUCGUUGACCGACAACUAUGCCAAUACCAUUGGCUCAAGCGUGAACAAGUUUUCUAAUAUUAAGUAACACGAAUGAAACACUCUUCUUAAUCAUUGGAACAAUCAAAUCGACAUAUCUCUGAGCAUCUGAUUAAUCUGAAAAACGCUUUGGUCGAUCCAUGUUUAUAUCGGUAUCAAUGACAUUACAACAGAAGACUCAGUGAAAAAGCUGUUCUUUUAUUUGUUUUUGUAGAAAAUCUGAUACUUUUCAGAGACAGCUACAACGGAGCUGAUACUAGGAGGACCUCAUUUGGUUUCACCUAAUUCUGUAAGCAAAAGCCGCCAAUGAGUGCCUUUCUCGAAUUUCUCAUGGUGAUCGGAAAGCUUCACCGGCGUAGCGCACAUUGCCGAGUUCCUCUUCGAUACGGAGAAGCUGCAAUGGAAAUAAAUCAAACUCAAGGGUUCAGAUAUGUGGUAUAUAGAGUAUAGUAUUAAGCAUAAGUUGGAUAUUAGUUAACUACCUGGUUGUAUUUUGACAAUCGUUCACUUCGGCAUGGAGCACCAGUUUUGAUCUACAAAACAGAGAAUGAUAAGCAAACACUAGAGAGUAAUACAGACAGGUUUAGAGGAUUUGAUGUACCUGUCCGCUUGCUAAACCAACAGAGAGAUCUGCGAUGAAGUUAUCCUCUGUCUCGCCACUCCUGUGACUAACCAUCACACCCCAGCCUGCAGCUUUUGAGUCAAGUGCUGCUUGAAUUGACUCAGUGACUGUCCCAAUCUGGUUAACCUGUGAAACCAUGAAUUACAAACAAAUUGAAAUUCUUCUCCAAUAACGGGGGUUUUGUCAAAAUGGUCUAGAGAAUUGAGAUUAGAAAAGAGAAAAUAAUAUAAAAACUUUUAUUUUUACCUUCAAGAGUAGAGCAUUGCAAGACUGUUUCUUAAUAGCUUCAGCUAUCCUCUUCGGGUUAGUGACUAACAAGUCAUCUCCCACGAGUUGGAUAUCCACAGAGGAUUGCAAUGAAGCCCAUGAGCUCCAAUCAUCCUGGUCAAAAGGAUCUUCGAUAGAGACAAUUGGGAAAUCCUUGAUGAAUUCUCUGUAGAGGUCAGCAAGACUCUCGGCUGACAGUACGUGAGCUCCAUCGUUUGGCUGUUUCUUGAAGUUCAAAUCGUAUCUACCAUCUUUCAUGAAAAAUUCUGAUGCAGCAACAUCCAUUCCUAUUUUGAUCUGCAAAAAUUAUAUAUUAUGUGAGUGGUGUAAGAUUGACACCGAAGCUGCCAGAAGUUGUUUAGGGAAACACAGAUGACAUGCAACUUUAGCAAGUAUUAGCAUUAAAAAGAAAGAGAACUUGAUUACCUUUCCAGUGUAACCGGCCUUUUCAAUUGCAUCUAUGAGCAGAACUAGUCCCUCUCUGUUAUCUUGAACAUUCGGCGCAAACCCUCCUUCAUCUCCGACAUUACAAGCAUCUUGACCAUACUUAGUUUUGAUUAUCCCCUUCAAUGUAUGAUAAACUGUAAUCAACAAAGUACAUUAAAUGCAUUACUAUCAGAAAAACAAUUCUUUGUGAUAAUCCAAAGAAUAGAAGAACUUUGGAACCAAAAGAGAAAUAUGAAACAGGAAGCUGCUUAUCAAGGCUUUUCUGUUUUUCUGACAUUUCAUUGCAAACUCAAGAAAAAUUAGGAGCCGCCAUAGUUUCUUAAGUUCUAGCAAGUUAAACCCAGUUAUCACUAACUGACCUUCACUUCCCAUCUGGAAGGCCUCCGAGAAUGAGGUAGCUCCUACAGGUAGUAUCAUAAACUCUUGCAUAGCCAAACUAUUCCCAGCAUGACUGCCUCCAUUGAUCACAUUGAAUGCAGGAACUGGCAUGACAAGCUCCUUUGUUCCUGAUGUUUCCUGGAUGUGUUUGUACAAAGGCACUCCUUUAGCUCCAGCACCUGCCCUGCAAACGCUCAAUGACACUCCUAAUAUCGCAUUAGCCCCGAGUUUCGACUUGUUUGGGGUCCCAUCCAGUUCCAGCAUAAGAGCAUCGACAUCAGCUUGGUUCCUUAAAGAAAAUAAGGUAAAAAUAUUACAUUCAACUAUCCAUCACCGAUUAUAGUUUCCCAACGGUUCAGAAUCAGAAACCACAAACGGAACAAUUCAACAAUGACACCUACUUCAACACUUAGUAGUAUCAAGUAUGAAGCAAAAUUAAAACUACAUGCAACAAACAACCUUAAUAACCUUAACUAGAAUUCCAAAUUCAACAGUCAUGCAUUACGAUUCGAAUCCAAGUCCACCAAAUUGACCAGUAGUAAUCCAGAGCAGAGAAACAAAGCUAAAACAACUCCGAAGAUUUCUAUCUAACUAAGCAUACCAACUCCAAAUCACGACGUUUAUAUGUUCAUUUAGAUUGAGGAACGAAUUCUUAUUCUCACCUAACGUCAACUCCAAUGAGUUUUGGAGCCACAAGUUCAUUGAUGUUUUUAAUAGCCUGUAAUACACCUUUACCACCAUAGACGCUCUUGUCUCCAUCUCUAAGCUCAAGCGCUUCGUAGAUCCCGGUAGAUGCACCACUUGGAACAGCCGAACGAUACAGAUCAUCGGUAAUCAGAUCAACCUCCACCGUCGGAUUCCCUCUACUAUCAAUAAUCUGUCUCGCUUUCACUCCUUUCACUCUGCACUCCUUAGCCACCACCGAGCAUUGGACACCGCUGCGACGGAAUCUCAGACAUGAUGGCGCAGAUUCCAAAUAUCGUUCGCCGGAAACACGCGACGGAGAGAGGAAAGAUCUCUGAAGAUGGUGAGGUUUUGUAGUCAAAGCCAUUACACGAUACCUAAAAAAAAUACUCUCUGUGAUUCUUUUGACUAAAAUGGAGAAGCGGAGAAUAAAAUGAUGUUAUAUAAUUUGAAAAACGUCCUUUUGGAGGUUGGUGCAGGCGGAGGCGAUGAAAACUAAGGAGUCAAAAGAACCAUACUUAAACCGGUUCAUUUUCCAAUUGGUUGACUGUUAAAGAGAAGUUUCUGGUUUUGGUUUGGUUCGGUUCGGUUCGGAACAAUUCAAAUAAAUAAAACAAAUCAAAAAUAUUCACUAGCAAAGUAGUAACCAGAGACACUGUGCCGUCGCCCGUCGCCGCCGCCGCCACACUAUCAUCUCUCUCAGGUUUUUGAUUUUCCACGGCAAUGGAGUCUUCGAUUCUCAAAAGCCCUAAUCUCUCUUCACCAUCGUUCGGUGUACCUUCAAUUCCCGCCUUAUCCUCCUCCUCCACCUCACCAUUUUCAUCUCUUCAUCUCCGAUCACAGAACCACCGUACCAUCUCUCUUACCACCGCCGGAAAAUUCCGUGUCUCGUAUUCUCUCUCCGCUUCUUCACCUCUACCACCUCAUGCUCCUCGCCGUCGUCCCAAUUACAUCCCUAACCGUAUAUCCGAUCCCAAUUACGUCAGAAUCUUCGAUACAACUCUCCGAGACGGUGAACAGUCUCCCGGAGCUACACUAACCUCCAAGGAAAAGCUCGAUAUCGCUCGUCAAUUAGCCAAGCUCGGAGUCGACAUCAUCGAAGCUGGAUUUCCCGCUGCUUCAAAAGACGAUUUCGAAGCUGUUAAAACCAUAGCUGAGACUGUUGGCAAUACCGUCGACGAAAAUGGCUAUGUCCCUGUAAUCUGUGGUCUCUCGAGAUGUAACAAGAAGGAUAUUGAGACGGCUUGGGAAGCUGUGAAGUACGCUAAGCGGCCAAGAAUCCAUACGUUUAUUGCCACUAGUGAUAUUCAUCUGAAGUAUAAGUUGAAGAAGAGUAAAGAAGAAGUUAUUGAGAUCGCUAGGAACAUGGUUAGAUUCGCCAGAAGCUUGGGAUGUGAAGAUGUUGAAUUUAGUCCAGAAGAUGCCGGAAGGUAAUAGUUUUGUUGUAAAAUGCCGUCAUGGAAUGUUCUCAAGUUCCUUUUUUUUUGGAUUCGAUGGUAUUUUAAUGUAUUGAUGGUCCUUUAUUAGUAGCUGAUUCUGCUAACGUGAAAUGUUUAAUUGGUGGCCAGAUCGGAGAGAGAGUACUUAUACGAGAUUCUUGGUGAAGUGAUCAAAGCUGGAGCAACCACUCUUAACAUACCUGACACUGUUGGUAUAACCUUGCCUAGUGAGUUUGGUCAGUUGAUUGCUGAUAUUAAAGCUAAUACUCCUGGGAUCCAAAAUGUUAUAAUCUCUACACAUUGUCAGAAUGAUCUUGGACUCUCCACCGCCAACACUUUAUCUGUAUGCCAUUUUUUUUUUCAUAUUUGGUUGGAUCGGGUUAGCUGUUAGAAGUUAUUACUAACAUGUCAAUCUUUUUUUGAAUUCAGGGUGCACAUUCGGGCGCGAGGCAAGUGGAAGUGACUAUCAAUGGAAUUGGCGAAAGAGCUGGAAACGCUUCAUUGGAAGAGGUCAGAUAUGAAAGCCUCCUGAAGUAGCUUCCUUUCCAUAGUUACUUAGAUAUUAUGCUACAUACUAAGGCAUUAUGACUUUUGUGAUUUUCAGUUUAUGAUCUCAUAGUGAACUGCAUAUAAAUACUUAAAUUAUUUCUUGAACAUUUUAUUCUUACUGUGUAGGUUGUCAUGGCCAUAAAAUGCCGUGGAGAUCAUGUCUUAGGAGGCCUAUUUACUGGAAUCGAUACCCGGCACAUUGUUAUGACAAGCAAGAUGGUACACAUUUUGAACUUCAUUCUUAACUCUGUGGAAACAAAAGUAUAUUUUUCUUAUUUGGCGAUUUUCCUUUUUUUUAAGGUCUAUUCUCAUUUUCUCAGGUUGAGGAGUACACUGGUAUGCAAACGCAGCCCCAUAAGGCUAUUGUAGGAGCAAACGCCUUUGCGCAUGAAAGUGGUAUUCAUCAGGUCAGUUAAUCAAUCGUAAUUUAUGCUAUUCUUAGUGUCUCUGUGACUAAAGUCUGCUUCACUUUUUUAUUAAACGGGAGAAAUGUAACUCUCCUAGUCUGGAAUUUUAGUUCUUGCAAGAUAAACUUACCCUUAUAGCAUUUACUCAGCCUGAAAAGAAUUUAAUGAAGGAAUCAUCAUUAGGUUCUCAACUCUUGACUUGCAUAUUUACUCUUUCAAUCUUCUGCAUAACUUAGUUAAUGAGUAUUGUUUGGUCUUUAUUCAUGCACUCUAUUUAGGAUGGAAUGCUGAAGCACAAGGGUACCUAUGAAAUUAUGUCCCCCGAAGAGAUUGGGCUUGAGCGAUCAAAUGAUGCUGGCAUCGUGCUGGGAAAGCUUAGGUAUGGAAGUUUUGUUGUUCAGACUGAUAUUCCAAAUGGGCUUGUCUUGUUCAAACCAAUGCUUACAUACUAUUUUAUCCAGUGGGCGUCACGCACUGAAAGACCGUUUAAAUGAGGUACAUGUCUUUACCCAUAUCUAUACUUGCUGUCACCAUAUUAGGAAGAAAAUGUUUUCUUAUCAUUUUUUUACAUUUUCAGCUCGGUUAUGUCCUGGAUGAUGGGCAGCUAAGCAACCUUUUCUGGCGUUUCAAAGCUGUGGCAGAGCAAAAAAAGGUAGUAAGAACCUCAAAGGGCACUGGUUUGGGUGCUGUUCCCAAAUUUUCAAGCAUUUAGUGUCCAAUUAUAUGAUGAUGCAGAAAAAAUUGGAGUUUUUGCUUUAGAAAAAAAAUAUAAAAUUAGUGGGUUUGCAUAAUGUCUCUUGAUUGUCUUUGUUCCUUGGUGAUACAGAGAGUUACCGAUGCUGACUUAAUAGCUUUAGUAUCUGAUGAAGUGUUUCAGCCAGAGGCUGUCUGGAAACUCCUGGACAUGCAGGUGAAUAGUGGAUAUGAGAUUUGUUUUCUCUCUUUACUUGUUCUAACUUCUUCUUUAGUCAAUUCUUAUUCUUAUGCUGAUUAUGGAAAGUGGGAGUGUAGAUAACUUGUGGAACUCUCGGUCUCUCAACAUCUACUGUAAAACUUGCUGACUCCGAUGGCAAAGAGCAUGUAGCUUGUUCUGUUGGAACCGGACCUGUAGAUGCAGCUUACAAGGCAGUUGAUCUUAUCGUUAAGGUACUUCUUUUGCUAGGAUUGCCGAUUAUAUAUAUAUAUAUAUAUCAAUGAUUACUUGUUUAAUGCUGAUCAUUAGCUAUGCAUAUACAGGAACCUGCGACUCUGCUUGAGUACUCGAUGAAUGCAGUAACAGAAGGCAUUGAUGCUAUUGCAACCACACGGGUUCUAAUCCGCGGAGACAACAACUACUCAUCAACAAACGCGGUAACGGGUGAAUCUGUUGAAAGAACUUUUAGGUAAAUUCAUUUUAACUUCAUCAUCCUUGUUUGAAACUUGAAACUAAUCUAGCAACUGAAGCUAAAGAAAAGAAUCGCAGUAACUACUCUGACUCACUGAGUUUGGGUUCUUACAGUGGAACCGGAGCAGGAAUGGACAUUGUUGUGUCGAGCGUUAAAGCUUAUGUUGGAGCUUUGAACAAAAUGUUGGGUUUCAAAGAACACACCUCCACUUUAAGUAAAACCCCUUUGGAGACCAACGAAGUCCCUGCCUGAAGAAAAUCUUACCUGCAAAUCUCAGAGAUCAAAUCACAAUUUAGAUGAGUAAACGUCUAAAAGAUUUUUAUUUUUUGUUACCGUUAUUGUUUGUAUAAAAAGAAUAUGAGUUUUGGUUUACUAAAAUAACUAUGAUAUAAAACAGAGUAUUUGGUUAAAACAUUGAAACAAGAACAAAUUUUCUAUAAAUAGUGAAGGCAUUUGCCCUAACAGGAACGACCGUUGAGCAAUCUUUUAACUACCAAAACUAAACUAAACUAAGAUAAGAUUUAUUUCGUAAUUGUUACCUUCCAUGACAAACAAACCAAAAGACAACAGAAACUUGGCCAGAAAAGUUUUAAGAACUCGUUCAUCUCCUUGAUUCAAUCUCUUUUAAAGAAACUCCAAAUUUUCAAACAACAAUUCGCUUGAAUACAAAAGGUUUUACGUUCCCCAAGAUUCAAAAAUGUCAGAAGUGCGAACUGGAUUCCUAACCAUGACAACAAUAAUCUUGAUAAGUAUAGGCCUCACAAUGAUGGGAACAGGUCUAUACCAAAAAACAACAAUGUCUUCUUGCAUCCGAGAAACCUCAAGCCAGUUCACGUUACUCGGUCUGCUUCUUCUGCUGAUUCCUCAGAUCGGUCUAUACGGAAUCUGUUGCCGCUCCAAACGCCUUUUCAAUUUCUUCUUCUACGGCAUGGUUGUGCUCAUUAUCAUUGUAUCUUAUUAUUCAAUCAAAUGUUCCAUUUACAACACCACUUUUGGCAUAGCUAAGAAUCCCGCCAAGGACAACCGUACCGUGCCACAGUUACUUGGUAGGUUGGUCUCUAAGGAGAAGUUCGAGAAAGUAACCUAUUGUAUCAUUCACAAACAUGACUGUAAUUACAAUGCCAGCAAAAACAGCAAUGUUUGGGUAAGUUUUGAAUCUUUUUACUAUUAAUAAGAGACAUGUCUAUAUGAAAAUGUGCAUGCUUAUAUUUAGGAUAUAUGUGCAGAAGUAUUGCUGUGCACAACCGGUGGGAUGUGGGACCAUAACGAUGUUCGACAAGCCAGGCGAGUGGAGUUGGAAACAUCAGUAUGAACGGAACCAAGUUCCAGAAGAGUGUUCUUAUGAGUAUUGUUUAGAUUGCAGAGGCUGCCAACUAAGCAUCUUAAAAGCCAUUGUUCAUCAAUGGAAAUAUCUCUCGAUGUUUGCUUACCCUGCUCUAGUCCUUUCCUGCAUCAGUCUUGCUAUAGCUUGGUCUCUCAAGGAGACUAUCCACGAAAACGAAGAUUAUCGAGGUUCUUAUAGUUGAUCUAUGAUUUAAUCCUAGAAUACUUACUUCAAAUUACAUCAAAAAGUGUCAGAUUUGUAGAAAUGCCUAUAGAAAACGGUGAAUGAUUUUUGAAUGAGAUAACGCCAAUGUUCAUGUAGCUUGCACAUACAUACCAUUUUGAUGUUUAUUCUAUAUUUAUGUUCAAUUUCAUACCGAGUUAUAUAGCAUAACGAUCCCCUUUUUUUUUGACAAUAAUUAUCCCAUUUCUAUCACGAACCACGCUACAAAGCUCACAAUCAAAAACAGGAUCGAUAGUUUGUCCAUACGUAAGAACAGAGAAUGUAUAAGCCAAAAAUUGUAUGUGUUCAGUGAACAAGAACAAAACAACCAUUUAGAAGGUAAAACACUUCAGGAGACAGAUACUCUAGAGACCUCAGAAAAAAAGUAAUGAAAUCUAGAAAACAAGCUCAUGGGGCUUCAUUCCUUGUUUCAAUGAAAACCUUGCGCCAAGGUAAGUCUUCAACUCUGGAACUGCUUCAAUGGCUUUGAUCAAAGCUGCAUCCACAGCUUUCUGGUCAUCUUUCUUCACCUGUGGGAUCUCCUUCUUCUCCUGUGAAAUAUAAAAGAGAGAUGUUAUGUCAAGCAUAUGUUUUGGUUUGGAAAAUAACAAGUGAUAUAAAGAUAUUUUCAAUGUCUAUUCUUCCGGAACAAACUGUGAUAACCAAAUUUAAAGGAGAGAAACACAAGAUGAAUUGCGUCCUUUCCAUGUUUUGCGAUAUAAGGUUAUACCUCUUUCUCAGCCUCAAAGAACUCUCCUUCUGUCUUCUUCUUUUUCUUCUCAGCAACCUUGCCAAAGUACUUAUCAUCGAAUUUAUCGAGGGUGACUCCAGAAAUGUCAACCUUUGUGGAAGUGCCAAUCACAUAGGCCUGGUUAACACGUCUCAAAGGAACACCAUUGAUCUUGAAUGGUCCUAAAGAAUUGUUAAAAAAAGGAUGAACAAUUCAGAUGGUAAAAAUCAGUGAAUGAGCUUCGCUUCAAAUGAUUUAUAGGAGACAAGUUCAUGAGAACAGAUAGAGAAUAACUCACCAGUCACAAGAAGCAAACCAGAGGCAAGCUGCUUAAGGAAGACAACUCUCUUUCCCUUGAACCUACCAGCAAGGAUAAUCAACACUGUACCUGGAGUAAUGCUAGCUCUGCAAUACAGAUAUAAGAAGAUCGGAUCAUGUUGGAAACAUAUAUAAGAUCUAUUGAAGACGUUACAGAGCAUAGACAUUAAAUUUGGUAUACAAAUGAAAAUCAAAUUCGCUUUUUUUCUUUUUACUAUCAACCUGAGACAAGCUUAAUCAUACUAAUAACAGUAAUGUAUAAGAAAACUAGAUGUAUUCACAGAAAUUAUGAACCUUUUGAAAUUCAAGUUUAACUCCACUAACAAUCUUCACAAACCAAUGCAUUUCAACUAUUCUUCAAAUAUCCUAGAGACAAAUGAUUUACACAAUGCAAAAUUUGGACACUUUUCCAGCAGAUAUUCAAAUCUUAUACAAACCCACUUAGCAAACGAGCCAAAGAAAUCAACCAAACACAUGGAAGAUAAUUGCAUCGAUACCAGUGUCAGACUAAGUACCUGAGCUUGGUUGGUUUUGCCGUGCGCCUGUUGGGGAGAGGUUUCUUAACAUCUUCAGCUGGAUAGAACUUCGGUGGCUUCUCCACCGGAGCAUCAACCUUAGAUUUAGCGUCGUGACGUGGGAAAACGCCUCCAUUUUUGGCCUUGAUAGCCCACAAACCUCUCUUAUGGUACAUCUGGGAUCUCGAGUAUUUACCAACACCCCUGAUCAGAUCAGGGUUUCUGUUGACCUUCGGGGUCCUCUGUUUCGCCGGCAUGGUUCUCUCUGUCGUAAUGAAUCAAGGAAAAAUUUUCCGGCUGAGAGUGGAUAGAGGAGAGAGUUGAGGCUGAGGAUAGGUGAAUUUGAAGACACUGAAACCCUAAUUAAAUUUUAGGGCUUUCUUGGGCUCAUGGGCUUUACAAUUAUAUCGGCCUUUUAAUGUGGACCGUAACAUGCAUAAUAGGAUUUGUUUUUUCUUACAACUUUGUAGUAUUAAAUCUUUUCACCUAAAACUAUUUUGACAGGAUGAUAAAAAAAUCAGAGUUAGAGAGUAGUUUAUCUAAAAACUCAGGCUAAUAAUCCCCACACAAUUUGACCAACGCCAAAAUCAGAGCAAGACGAUUCCUUCACCUGUAAGAGUGCAAUGGAUCACAUAUAUCAUUUAUAAUUAGUUUGAGACGCUUUUGAUGAAGCUGAUGAGGAUUUCUCCGCUUUAUUCACCUUUACAUGUCCUUCUUCAACAAACAUUGGUCGGCUUAAAAGCUCUUCAAAAGAUCAAUGUGCACAUGCCUAUGUAUAUAUAUACUAAUGACCCCGUUACUCAAUCAACAAAUAUUGAAUCUUGAUCACCGAAAACCAAAAUUUCAUUAGAUUCAAUGGCUAUGGCUAGUAGUAGUAGCAGCUCGUCAUUGUUUCCUAUCCAACAACAACCUCAACAACAAUUAGGAGGCAAUGAGAUCACACCUAUGGCUACCAAUGCCAAUCUAAUCGCAGCACCAAACGCUCCAAACCAUUACUCUUCCAGCUCCAUUGGACCCUUCUUCGCUGUCAUAUCUGUUCUCAUCAUUCUUGCUGUUCUCUCCUGCUUCUUGGGUCGAUUCUGCGCACGGAGCCGCCAGAGAACUGGUCUAGUGGCUGAAGUCAAUCCGUUGGAGAUGAUAAAGAGUGGUGGGCUUUUAGGUUGGCUGAGACGAAAAUGGAGACGGUGUUUGGCCGGAGAUGUUGAGGCCGGAGCUAAAGUUGCUGAUUGUGCUAGCAAAGAAACACCUAAAGAUAAUGAUCAAAUUCGUCUAGAAGCACCUCCAGCUUGAUCUCGGUGCAUGUGACAGAGACUAGUAAUAAGAGUUUCAAUAUUCGAAGUAGAUUGUAAGCUAAACUAUAUCAUUAUUGCAAUGUUAUUUUCAAUUCUCAAUUUCAUCACUUCGUCAUGACUUAAGCAUUACUAGAAUCUUGUGAAAAGUUCUCCUUCAAAAACAGGAUUGAUAAAUUAUCCAUAUAAGACAGAAAUCCAGAUAGCAGCAGCCAAGAUUUUAUGUCUCUGGUCAGUGGACGAGAACAGAACCAACCAGUUGGAGUGUAAAACUUCAGGAGACAGAUACACUAGAAACCUCAGAAAAAAAGUAAUGAAAUCUAGAAAACAAGCUCAUGGGGCUUCAUUCCUUGUUUCAAUGAAAACCUUGCUCCGAGGUAAGUCUUCAACUCUGGAACUGCUUCAAUAGCUUUGAUCAAAGCUGCGUCCACGGCUUUCUGGUCAUCUUUCUUUCCCUGUGGAAUCUCUUUCUUCUCCUGCGGAAGGAAAAAAAGUAUAUGGAGGUCACGCAUAGCUUUUAAUUUGGGUAGUGUAUAAAGGAGAGAACUUUAAUCGUCUAUUACAAAAUGAGAACCAAAUGACUCUUAGAGAAAGACAAGAAGAAUGUUUGGGAUACCUCUUUCUCAGCCUCGAAGAACUCUCCUUCAGUCUUCUUCUUUUUCUUCUCAGCAACCUUGCCGAAGUACUUAUCAUCGAAUUUGUCGAGGGUAACUC
rnacentral:lncRNA from 1 species